UGUAAGCGUAUACCAAAGUUGUUGCAGUUAAAACGCUCGUAGUCGGAAUUUGGCAGUUCCGGAAGUGUGCACGUCGUGUGCGCACUUUGCGGGGACUGCUUUUGUGGUCUUGCGUAGGAUGAGGCACUUUCAUUAGUGAACGUCCUCACGCAACCACUCUUUACUGUGAGAAAAUCAGAGUGCUCAAAGCAGGCAUUUGCCGUGAAUGUAUUAGCAUGGAAUAAUAGAAUAAGACUCGGUUCUAUUUUGUUGGUUUGUUGGGACUGAGUAAUGAUUAAGAGGGACAGUUGGGGGCAUUUGUAUUCCGGCGCUAGAGGUGAAAUUCUUAGAUUGCCGGAAGACAAACUGCUGCGAAAGCGUCUGCCAAGGAUGUUUUCAUUGA
rnacentral:rRNA from 1 species